rnacentral:miRNA from 1 species
CCCGCAUAUUAGACGUAUCGAC